GGGCUCCCCGUUGGGCGGGGGCGGCGGUCCGAGCGGCUGCUGCAGCGGAAGCGGGUCCGGGUCGCGCAGGGCGGGGGCGGCGCAGCGGGCGGAGGCGGCCGUGGGCCGCCUGGGCAGAAUGUCACGAUGGACGAGGGCGGCACGCCCCUGCUCCCCGACAGCCUGGUCUACCAGAUCUUCCUGAGCCUGGGCCCGGCCGACGUGCUGGCCGCCGGGCUGGUGUGCCGCCAAUGGCAGGCCGUGUCGCGGGACGAGUUCCUGUGGAGGGAGCAGUUCUACCGCUACUACCAGGUGGCCCGCGACGUGCCCCGACACCCAGCGGCCAUGUCCUGGUACGAGGAGUUCCAGCGGCUGUAUGACACGGUGCCCUGCGUGGAGGUGCAGACGCUGCGGGAACACACAGACCAGGUCCUGCACCUCAGCUUCUCCCAUUCCGGGUACCAGUUCGCGUCCUGCUCCAAGGACUGCACUGUGAAGAUCUGGAGCAACGACCUGACCAUCUCGCUGCUGCACAGCGCAGACAUGCGGCCCUACAACUGGAGCUACACCCAGUUCUCCCAGUUCAACAAGGACGACUCGCUACUGCUGGCCUCGGGGGUGUUCCUGGGGCCGCACAACUCCUCAUCCGGCGAGAUCGCUGUCAUCAGCCUAGGUGAGCACGGGCGGCGGGUUGACCCUGCCCCCGCCCCACACCGACAGCCUGUCCAGCCCCGGCCUCCCCACAGACUCCUUCGCGCUGCUGUCCCGCGUGCGGAACAAGCCCUACGACGUGUUCGGCUGUUGGCUCACCGAGACCAGCCUCAUCUCGGGGAACCUGCACCGCAUCGGAGAUAUCACCUCCUGCUCGGUGCUGUGGCUCAACAAUGCCUUCCAGGUGCGUGCGGGGCUAGGGGCGGGGCUGCCCUCCCCGGGGCCUGGCGCCCACCUGGCACGUGCCCCCGCCCCCAGGACGUGGAGUCAGAGAACGUCAACGUGGUGAAGCGGCUGUUCAAGAUCCAGAACCUCAAUGCCAGCACCGUCCGCACGGUGAUGGUGGCCGACUGCAGCCGCUUCGACAGCCCUGACCUGCUGCUGGAAGCCGGCGACCCGGCCACGUCCCCCUGCCGCAUCUUUGACCUAGGCAGCGACAACGAGGAGGUGGUGGCUGGCCCGGCCCCCGCCCACGCCAAGGAGGGCUUGCGGCACUUUCUGGACCGCGUGCUGGAGGGGCGGGCGCAGCCACAGCUGUCGGAGCGCGUGCUAGAGACCAAGGUGGCCGAGCUGCUGGCCCAGGGGCACACCAAGCCACCCGAGCGCAGUGCCACAGGCGCCAGGAGCAUCAAGCAGAUCCUGCCACACCAGAUGACCACGGCAGGGCCCGUGCUGGGUGAGGGCCGGGGCUCCGACGCCUUCUUCGACGCGCUGGACCACGUCAUAGACAUACACGGACACAUCAUCGGCAUGGGCCUGUCGCCCGACAACAGGUGGGCCUCUUGCCAGUGUCCCAGGCGGGGUGCCCGCAGGCGGCCCACACCUAGCACAGUGCCCCUCGCCCAGGUACCUGUACGUGAACAGCCGCGCCUGGCCCAACGGUGCGGUGGUGGCCGACCCCAUGCAGCCACCACCGAUCGCGGAGGAGAUUGACCUGCUGGUGUUCGACCUCAAGACCAUGCGGGAGGUGAGGCGGGCUCUGCGUGCGCACCGCGCCUACACGCCCAACGACGAGUGCUUCUUCAUCUUCCUGGACGUCAGCAGGGACUUCGUGGCCAGGUGCAGGGCGCGGCGUGGUGCAGGGUGGGCGUGGGCGGCAGCGGGCGGGCGGCCAGCUCACCCAGGCGCUGUUCUGCAGCGGGGCAGAGGACCGGCACGGCUACAUCUGGGACCGCCACUACAACAUCUGUCUGGCCAGGCUGCGGCACGAGGAUGUGGUCAACUCAGUGGUCUUCAGUCCCCAGGAGCAGGAGCUGCUGCUCACGGCCAGCGACGACGCCACCAUCAAAGCCUGGCGCUCCCCACGCACCGUGCGUGUCCUCCAGGCACCUCGCCCACGGCCUCGCGCCUUCUUCUCCUGGCUUGCCAGCCAGAGGCGCUGAGGUGUGCUGGGUGCACUGGAGCCACCGGGACCCCUUGAGGACGUUGCCAGGCUCUGUGGCUUUUUCCCGAGCGGGAGAGGUGGAGAUGCUUGUAGCAGUUACGCCUUAGGAAGGGGACAACCAGGCCCCGCCACGCGCUCACACGCAAACCUGCUCACGCAGCUGUGAUGCUUGGCACAGGGUGGCCAGUGCAGAUGGAGCCCAAGGCCCCCUCGGCCUCCUGGCCAGCUUGGGGUACACAGGAUACUGGGGGUGCCGCUCCUCACUCAACCCCAGGCUAGGGGUACACCUGACCCAGCUGGCCUCGGCCCGGGGCACCUUCGGCUGGUCCUGUGGGGCCCUGGACGGUGGCCCAGUGGUGGCAGGGGCUGCUCCUGGCUGUGGUUGUGCGCCCGGGGCUUGGGAGCGGCCGGUCACGCUGCUGUGGGCCCGAGUGUGUUGCAUGUCCACGCACCACCCGUUCAGGGCCCUGAAUAAACAGUUGGCAACAGCA
rnacentral:sRNA from 1 species